GUCCGGCGGCGAGAGUGAGAGGCGGAGAGAGCCGGGCCGGGUGUCCCGUAGUAUCGUUCCUCUCGCUCGUUCAGCCCUGACUCUUAUGGUUCUGCCUGGCCGCCGGUAGCACAGCGUUCCCGGCCUGCUCUCCGCUUAGCCCGAUCUCUUAGUCUGAACCGGGAGUGUUUGCUCUACUAGAGGCUCACUUAAAAAAAAAAAAUCCCUCCAAGGAUGAAACAUGACUGACGACUCUCAGAGGAACUUUCGUUCAGUCUACUAUGAAAAAGUCGGCUUUCGUGGAGUUGAAGAAAAGAAAUCACUGGAAAUCCUUCUGAAAGAUGACCGUUUGGACAUUGAGAAGCUUUGCACAUUUAGCCAGAGGUUCCCUCUCCCAUCCAUGUACCGUGCAUUGGUAUGGAAGGUACUUCUAGGCAUCUUGCCUCCACACCAUGACUCUCAUGCCCAGGUGAUGGCCUAUCGCAAAGACCAGUACUGUGAUGUCCUCCAUGCGCUGACAGUCGUCCGCUUCAUCAGUGACGCCACUCCACAGGUUGAAGUGUAUCUUCGCAUGUAUCAACUUGAGUCAGGGAAGUUGCCUCGAAGUCCCUCUUUUCCUCUGGAGCUGGAGGAUGAAGUCUUUCUUGCCAUUGCUAAAGCCAUGGAAGAGAUGGUGGAAGACAGCGUGGACUGUUACUGGAUCACCCGAUGCUUUGUGAAGCAGUUAAAUAACAAGUAUCGGGAUGCUUUACCUCAGCUGCCCAAGGCUUUUGAGCAGUACUUGAAUCUGGAAGACACUAGGCUGCUGAGUCACCUGAAGACGUGUUCUGCAGUGUCCAGACUUCCUUAUGAUCUCUGGUUCAAAAGGUGCUUCGCGGGAUGCCUACCCGAGUCCAGUUUACAGAGGUACAUGUUUCCCCUCGCACACUGGGAGCUUGGAGUCAGAAAACGAUCCUGGCCCUUAGGUGAUCAUCCUUCAGAACUUGAGUUUGCUCCAGAACAAGAAGGGUCUGGGAUAAAGUCGUAAGUGGAUCCUGUAAGAUCCUAGUUUUUGUAGCAGUAGAAAUAUUAUUAACCUUUAAAAUAAAGGUCAUGGCAUUGAACAGUGCAGAGAAGAUAACAAAGUUCCUGGAAAAUAUUCCUCAGGACAGCUCAGAUGCCAUCGUGAGCAAGGCCAUCGACUUGUGGCACAAACACUGUGGGACCCCAGUGCAUUCGGCCUGACAGCUCGUGACUUCAUGGGCAGUCUGCAGGCCUUCCCUGAGCACUUUGUUCAUGUCACCUGGUCUACCAACUGGUUAGAAAUAACAGUAUUGCUGUGUUGCUCAAAAUGCAACCGCCCCCCCCACCCCCCAAAUCAGUAAACUAAUUUAAUCAAAAUGCCUGGUGUGGCCAUGCUGUGAAGCUACAUCUCUUGGUGACACCCACGUGCAAGUCUGGAAUAGUGUUCUGAAAGGGCGAUUAGGAAAGUACUCCUGGUCUUAGGCAACUCAGCUUAUGCGCAGCCGGGGCACUCUUGUGAAUGGUAAGAGUUAAGCCCUGCCUCCCUCUGAUGAGCACCAGCACACGUUAGUUAGUUAGGAAGGACUGAUUCUGGAAGAAGAGCAGCUUUCUUUUCCUAGCCUCUCUAAUUCGGCUUGUGCUUUCUGUUGACCUAGAACGUAUAUAAGUGUGAGCUGACCACCAUCUCAUGCUCUGUCUGGUUAAACUGGCUUAAAAGCAGUCCCUGCAUUUCCUUAUGUGUUCCCUCCCUUUGUGCCAGCUGGAAUGGAGGCUUGUCUUUUCUUUCCUGAGACAAGGCCUCAUUCCAUACCCCACUCUCUGGAACUAUUUAUGUAGUUGGCCUUGAACUCCUAGCGGUCUUCCUGCCUCAGCCUUCCGAGUGCUGGGAUUUUAUUAAAUAAAACACCUCAUAAUUUACCUUC